rnacentral:tRNA from 1 species
GCGCUCGUAGCUCAGUUGGAUAGAGCAAUGGUUUCCUAAACCAUAGGUCGCAGGUUCGAUCCCUGCCGGGCGCA